UUUUAUUUGAGAGUUUGAUCCUGGCUCAGGAUGAACGCUGGCGGCGUGCCUAACACAUGCAAGUUGAGCGAUUUACUUCGGUAAAGAGCGGCGGACGGGUGAGUAACGCGUGGGUAACCUACCCUGUACACACGGAUAACAUACCGAAAGGUAUGCUAAUACGGGAUAAUAUAUUUGAGAGGCAUCUCUUAAAUAUCAAAGGUGAGCCAGUACAGGAUGGACCCGCGUCUGAUUAGCUAGUUGGUAAGGUAACGGCUUACCAAGGCGACGAUCAGUAGCCGACCUGAGAGGGUGAUCGGCCACAUUGGAACUGAGAC
rnacentral:rRNA from 1 species